rnacentral:rRNA from 1 species
CCUACGGGGGGCUGCAGUGGGGAAUAUUGCACAAUGGGCGCAAGCCUGAUGCAGCCAUGCCGCGUGUGUGAAGAAGGCCUUCGGGUUGUAAAGCACUUUCAGCGGGGAGGAAGACGGUGAGGUUAAUAACCUCAUCGAUUGACGUUACCCGCAGAAGAAGCACCGGCUAACUCCGUGCCAGCAGCCGCGGUAAUACGGAGGGUGCAAGCGUUAAUCGGAAUUACUGGGCGUAAAGCGCACGCAGGCGGUCUGUCAAGUCGAAUGUGAAAUCCCCGGGCUCAACCUGGGAACUGCAUUCGAAACUGGCAGGCUAGAGUCUUGUAGAGGGGGGUAGAAUUCCAGGUGUAGCGGUGAAAUGCGUAGAGAUCUGGAGGAAUACCGGUGGCGAAGGCGGCCCCCUGGACAAAGACUGACGCUCAGGUGCGAAAGCGUGGGGAGCAAACAGGAUUAGAUACCCUUGUAGUC